UACGGGGGGGGCAAGCGUUGUUCGGAAUUACUGGGCGUAAAGGGCUCGUAGGCGGCCAACUAAGUCGGAUGUGAAAUCCCCAAGCUUAACUUGGGAACUGCAUCCGAUACUGAAUGGCUUGAAUUCGGGAGAGGGAUGCAGAAUUCCAGGUGUAGCGGUGAAAUGCGUAGAUAUCUGGAGGAAUACCGGUGGCGAAGGCGGCAUCCUGGACCGACAUUGACGCUGAGGAGCGAAAGCCAGGGGAGCAAACGGG
rnacentral:rRNA from 1 species